UGCGACUUUUCUAGCGGAAAAAACUACAACUUCGAUGAUGGGGAUGUCUCGUCUGGAUCGUCACGUUAAAGCUUUUAGUCUAUUCGUCAGCGUUGCGCAACGCACAUUGGCUUUUUUUUACAAUCCCGUUUAUUGAAACUCCGUAGUGAAAAUUAUUAUUUGGCUAACAGUUUUCCAUAUAAUUGUAAAUACCGCAUUUAUUCAGAUUAAUAAGGUAUGAAUUAUAAUAUUGUUAUUGUGUACAUAAUACCUACAGUUUUAAUUAAUUUUUAGAUAAGUAAUUAUAUACAAUUUUUAAAAGACAUAUAUUGGUGACCGGUCAAUUUAUAGUCGCGAUGGGAUAUUUAUUUUUCGAAACAAUAUUUUAAAAUUAAAAAUUCUACAAAUUAAUUAAAUUUUAAAAUUUCAAAAAAUUAUUUACCCAAAUUAAUAUAAAUUAUUAUUAUACAAUAUACAAUAUACCUACGUAGAAGGUAUAUUAAUUUCAAUAUUAAAAUCUUCAUGAUUUAUUAAUUAUAUCUAGUUUCACUAUAUUAAAUUAUACUUAUUAUAGUAAUUGCUAUUACUAGUAUAAUUAAAUUAUUUAUUUAUCAUAUUUAAGUAAAUAAAUAAUUAAACAUAAUUGUCAGUUAAGUCUGAUAUUGUGUGAAAUAUUUAUAUUAAAUAUUGGAUUACCUAUAUAGUUUAAUCUAACGUUUUUACGCAAGUUUUGUAUAAUAAAGUUUUUUUCCGCCGUUUUCUAUAGUUUAUCCUAUAAAAUUGCAUGUAUAAUAUAAAUACGUUUAAAGUAACACUGUACCUAUAAUAAUUAAUUAUUAUUAUUAUAAUGAGAAAAUACGUGAAUACAUUUUAAAACUAUUUUUCGGUCUUUUUUUAAAUUUGUCGAUCACUAAUUGAAUAUUUGAUUAUAAUCUGAAGUGCUGCUAUUGUAGUAUAACUACAAUAUUUGUUUGAUAGCAUAAUAGUCAAUGAAAAACCGAAACAAUAAUAAUAUGGUAACAUUUAACUUUUUAAGAUUUUAUUUUUUUUUUUUUAAAAGAACAUUGUAUUUUUGAUAGUACGAUACAUUAAGUUAAUAGUAUUCAUGUGUAACCAUUUUACAAGUAUAUAGAGAUAUUUUUCAAUAGAUCGAUUUUUUUUUUUUUUUUUUUUUGAAGAUAUUUUGACCAUACACAUUAAAUUGCUUAAACUGUAUUUUAUAAUUUUUUUUUUUAUGUUAUAUAACUAUAUUCAUUGUGUAAAUACAGAGUCAUCCAUUCAUAUACUGAGUAAUAACUAAUAAUUAUUGUUAUGCAAUUAUAAUAUCGAUUACUUAAUCGAUAAAUGUCUUUCUUCAUUUAGAUUCUUAGCCGGUUAAGGAAUGUAUUUUUUACAUUUUAUAUUUUAUAUUUACAUUUUUUAGUUUUACAAUGAUGUUAAUUUUAUUUUUUUGUCUGUGAACAACUUUUCUACAAGAUAUCUUGCUACAAUUUAAAAUGAUAGCAUUUUUUCUAAAAGGAAAUCUGAAUAGGGUAGUACUUUAGGAUGGUCAUCUUUUGAUUUUCUUAGGAGUUUUUCCUAUAAAUGAGAAAAAAAUGAAAAAACACGAAAAUAAAUACGAAACUAAACAAAUAUUAUUGAGGAAAAUAUUUAAUGCAUAUGUUAUUAUUUCACCAUAAUAUGACAUAAAUAUUGCUGACAAAGCAGCACCUUACCUAACCUAACCUAACCGAAUUCCGUUCAGAAUCAUUUUUCGUUAGCAAUGAUUAAUAAUUGCGUGCAUAUAUAUAAAUUCAAUUUCCUCUCUACCUUCCCAACUUUUCACCUAUAACAGUAACCCACCCACGUGUGAAGAAUGUCCGUCUUUUUUUUAUUGCCCCUGUUAACUAUCAUAAAUGAAGUAAGGUAAUAGAAAUUAAACUAAGAGAAAUAAAGUGAUACUACUCACGGAGAGGCCACUGUUGUGUAUGGUCAGUUUGGAAGGUAGGUUAUAUAGGAUCAUUUAUUGUAUACACUAUAUGCAACGAUAGAUCGAAUCAAACGAAAAACGAUUCUGAGUUGAAUACCAUUAGUCGAUUUUUUCUCUUAAUUAAUCCCGAGGUAACAGAAAUCAGCAAAACAUGAUCAAUAUAUUCCCCAUUUUUACUACGUUUUCCCAGUUAUUAGGAAACAUACAAGGAAAAUCAAAACUAGAUUACGGGUAAAAAAGUUGUAAAAUGCUGAUACUGGGAACGGAUGUGCACUGUUACACUGUUAUAGGUAGGAAGUUAGAAAGAUAGAAAACAUUAAGUUAUUUAAGCAUAUCAACAGCAACGAUAAACCAUUGCUAACGAAGUUUGAUUAUGCAUAUUUUAAAAGGCCGUAAUAUUUAUGAUUUUCGUCAAAAUUUGAUAAUAAAAUUCUUAUUAAAAAAAAAAAAACUUUAAACUCAGUUUUAGAUUUUGAGCGGAGCGAAUUUUACUAUGAUGUUUAUUUUUUUUUAUACUAGGUACAAACAUUCUAUCGGAAAUCUUGCUCUGAUAUAUAUGUGCGACACCUUUUCUGAAAGGAAAUAUUAUUUAAAUAAUACUUUAAGGAAAUUUUUUAUUUUUCAUAACAUCUGGAGAAAACCAGGAUAAAACGUAAAAAAAAUGGGAAAUUUACGAAAAUAAUGUUUUUAUUAUUUUCAAUUUUGUUAUUCGUUGUAACUCUGUUAAAAAUAUUUUUAGAGACUUAAAAUUUUAAUAAAAUACUUAUUUUUAGCCUUUUAUUUGCCUUUUCUAGACGUGGUAAAAUUUUCAAAAAUAUAGCCAUUUUUGAGCUAUUAAUAGACAUUUUAAUUUUGCGAGUUUUGUACGUAAUUUUUUUUCGGUAAGUGGUACUCUUUGGUAAAAUUAUGUAUUAUGUACCUGAAUUGCCGGUUUAAGACUUAGCUUCAAAAUUAAAGCUUUUUGAAAUUUUGAUAUUAUGUAUGUUAUGUCAAAUAACUCUAUAUUGACAAUUUUUAAGCAUGUCUGUCGCAGUCUAGUGGUGGAACAAACCGGUUGUCAUCCUAGAGAUCCCGAGUUAAUACUCGUGUUCCGUAAACAAAUGUAUUUUGGGUGUACUUAGACAUUGCCAAGACAUUGCUCAUCGAACUAUUUUAUUGAAAAAUACUCCUCUAUUUGUUAUGCAAACUUUUCUACUCGAAAUCUUGCUCCGAUAUAUCAAGUGUAAUAUCUUUUCUGAAAGGAAAUUUUAUAAAAAUGGCAAUUUAAAGAAAUCGUUUUUUGAUUUUCCAGGAGUUUUUCCAAUAACUGGAGAAACCCAGGAAAAAACGGAAAUUUUUCGAAAUGUAGUAAUUAGUAAAAAAUAUUACUGCUCUUCUUUUCUUGAGAACAUUUUUUUUUCUGCCACUGUUGUAUGUUAGAAGUUGGGAAAAUAGUAGAGGGGAAACUUAAUGCAUAUCUGUAUGCAACGAUUGACCAUUGCUAACGAAAAAACGAUUCUGAGCGGAGUUCUGUUUAUAGUGUUGAUUUGUUAACAAAAUAUACAAAUCAUAUUAUGAUAAAAUAAUUGCAUAAUAUACAUUAUAUACUUUGUUUAAUAAUAUUUGUUUAAUAAUUUAUCUAUUUCCCCGUUUAUCCUACGUUUUUUUUCCCCGGUUUUCCCACAUUUUUUUCCUUUUUUCCCCCAUUUAUUGGUAAAAUUCCUGGAGAAAUCAAAAAAUAGCCUCCUAAAAGCACCACCUCAGUCAGAUUUCCUUUCAGAAAAAUUACUAUCAUUGUAAAUCGAAGCACAAUUGCUGGUAGAAAAGUUGUCCACAGAAAAAAUUAUAAUAAUAUAAAUCAUUGUAAAAUCUACAUUCAGCACAUUCCUCGCUCCACUCAGAACCUUAAACUUAAAACAAUGAAAUCAUAACGCCGUAAAUUUGACAGUUUCCAUUUUACGUUUUUUUUUUUUUUUUUUUUUCAUUUUUUCCCUAUUAUUGUGAAAACCCCAUUUAAAAUCAAAAAAUUACCUGCUUUAAGUCCCAACUUAAUAAAAUUUCUUUUCAGAAAAGAUGAUAUACUUGAUAUAUCGGAGCAAGAUUCUUGUUAAAAAUUGUGUACACAUAAAAAUAAAAUUGUUAAAAAUAAACAUCAUUAACAAAUAACUAAUACAUUCCUCGCUAUACUCAAAAUCUAAAAAAAAAUAUGUCUUCGUACAAUCAAAUAUAUACAAUUAUUAUUAUUAUUAUUAUUAUAUGCUGUUGUAAAAACAUAUCAGUACCAAUAUAAAAUCCAUUGAUUAUUAAUUAAACCUUUUUGUUUUCAUUGUGACCUUUCAAUAAAUUAUCUUAUAUUACGAUCGUGUUACGCUGCCGUUAUCAUACACUACAGUUAUUUAUUUACAUACGUAUAGAUACUUCAAUAAACAACUAUUUUCUAAAACGAUAAUUCUAUUCAGACAUUAUCUGUAUUUUUAUCUUUUUUAGGAUAAAAUAUAUAAUUUUAAUGUCAAUUCGUUUUCCAGUGCACAGAAAUAUUAGAUAGUUAUUCUCAUAUGAGUAUAAUAAUAUACCAAUAUCCAUUAUAAUCAAUCGUAUUCAUUUAUACAGAGUGAUGAAUCUGUCAUAAGACACUCAUUAUCUCGGAAAUUAUGUACUUUUUGGAAUUUUUUUUUUAAAACUUAAGCAACAAAUAGUUCUAAAAUGUUACUUUAUCUUUUUUUUUGUCAUCCUUAUUUUUGGAAGUAAAACGAAUACCUACUUUUGAUUUUUAAAUGACCACCUACAAAAAAAUUCCAUAAAUACAUGUUUUGAUGAUAUAUAUUUUGUUACAUUCACAUUGUAAUUUUUAAAUACUUGGUUUAUCAAAUUUAUUUAUUUAUUUAUUAUGAUUUAUUUUGAUUUUAUUUUUUAGUAACUUAAUAAUAUUAUUAUACAUUUGGAAGUCUGGUUUCUCUUAUUGUUGUUAUUUAUACAGGAAGUGAGAUUGUUGAUUAGGAAACUAUUAUAUUUGGUGCUGAUGUAGUUGAUGUUAUUUUUAUUUUUAUUAUUUGUGAUGUUAACAUUAUGUUUGUAUUUAAUAUUUUAAUUUAUUUUAUUAAUGGUUUUUAAGUUAUAACCAUUAAUUAUUGCAAUUUUUUUAUUGUUUUUAGUUUUUAUGUGUAGUAGUUAUUGUUCAAAGGUAUGCUUUCUAAUCCAUGUAUCAUUGACCUAAAAUAUGUUCAUUUUUGUGUAAAAGGAUGAUUGGAAUCAUUAGGAAUUAUGGCAUCUGUUUGUGUGGGUUUUCUAUAGAUAUUAAACUCAAAUUUAUUAUUAAUAAUUUUAAUGUUAAAGUCUAGAAAGUUUAAUUGAUUAUUAUUUUGUAUUUCUAUAGUAAAUUGUAUAUAUUUAUUUAAUUUGUUAAAUCACUAAUCAUAUUCUGUGCCUAUAAAUAUUAUAAAGUGCUAUCUACAUAUCUGUAAUAUUGUUUAAGUUGGGAUUUUUUAUAAUGUGUUUGUUUUCAUAAUUUUGCAGGUAUAAUUCUGAAAGAAGAGCACUUAAUGGACUAUCAAUAAUUAAAUCAUCUGGUUCUGUAUACACUAUAUUGUACUUAAAAUAGUUUUGGUUAAUAAUCAUUUUAGCAAUUUUUAUGGUAUCAUUAAUUUCUUUAGUGUUCAUUUUAUUUAGUUUAGUUAAAUUAUCUUUUAAAAUUUGUAUUUUUCUAAUUGGGGACUAGAAGGAUAUAUAUUUUUGAUGUCUAAUGAAAUCAUUUUACAUUCUGAUGGUAUAUUGUAAUCUUUAUUAUUAUUAAUGAAUUUAUUAGUAUUUUUGAUGGAAUGUAAGUUAUUCAUAUUUAAGUUGGUUUUUUAUUUAAAUAUUUUAUAAGUUUAUAUGAAGGGGAUAUUUUUUUUAAAUUUACUAGAAACCUUAUUGGAUGAUCUUUUUGUAAUUUGAUAAAAGGAUGUAAUUGUGGGGCUAGUGUAUUGUUAUUAUUGAUUAACAUUUUUUUGUCUUUGGGUUUUCUUAUUUCUGUGGCAUUUUUAAUAGUAUUAUUAAUUAGUUUUUGAUAUGUAUUAGUCGGAUAACUGUUUAGUAUUGUUACAUUAUUAUUUUUUAUGAAAUCAUAUAUUUUGUUAGUUACUAAUUGUUUAUAUAUAAUUACUAUAGCGUUUGAUCUAUCUACUGGUAAGAUUUCUGCAUUAUGAUUUUUUAUUUUAUUGGAUAUAGAAUUAAUAAUUCUGUUUUGGGUUGUGGUUUUAUUAUUAUAUGAUUUGAUUUUGUACGUGUUAUUUAAAGAUUUUUCAGUGAUAUUAAUUAUGAUAUGUUUAGUUAUUAUUACUAUUUGGUGUAUAAUUAAUUAUUGAUUGACAUAGAAUGAUUUCUUUUUCGAUUAAAUUGUAAAUAAUAUUAUUAUGUAGAUUAUAUUUUCUUCCUUUAUUUAAAAGUUCUGUUUCUUUUUGAUUGAGAAUAAUACGAGUAAGGUUUGAUGAAUUUUGGUUGAAAUGAAUGUGAAAUGGUAAAUGUAACAAAAUAUAUAUAGGCAAACAGAUAGAAACUUUAAAUCCAGAUUCAAAGAGCACACAUCUAAAAUUAGUUUAAAAAAAGAAAAUCUCGAAUCCAACUUGACAAACAUGUUUUAGAAAGUAACCACAGCAUCAAAAAUAACAUUGAAAAAGUUUUAUCAAUAAUACACACACAGAAAAACAAAUAUUUAAAUUCCGUACUAGAAAGUUAUCAUAUUCAUAAUGAAAAAAAAAACAAUAAUUUCAAUAAUUCAUUAAUUGUUCAAACGGAUUUUAAAAAUAUUUUAUUUCCUUAUCUACAUAAACUUAAAGAUGAUAAUAAUUGUGAUAAUAUUAUCUAAUCAAAUUUCUCUGCUAUCAUUGUUUUGUUAUAAAAAACAAUAUGUACACAAUUGUUUGAUAUUAUAAUAUAUAUUAUAUAUAUGUUGUGAUAUAUACUAUGUUAUAUUUAUUUUUGUUUUAAAGUUUAUAUUGUUCUUUUUUUUUAAUUGUUUUAUGUAAACCAUCGUAUAACAUUGUUCAUCAGCAACCUGAUGAUGGCGUAAACCGAAACUAAGUAGUUGCUUAAAUAAAACUUAUUAACACUUUAUGUCAGCAUAUUUUUUAAACAAAAUUUCAGAUAACCGCUUACACAAAAAUUGUGUCUUAGUUUUUCGAUAUUUUUAUAGUAUCUAUUAUAAAAAAUAACUUAUGAUGAAUUAUGUAUUCAAUUUUCAAAUAUGCUUAAGUUGCCAAAAUAAUUUGGUUACAUAAAACCAAAUAAAGUCUAAAGUAUAAAAAAAAAAAAUAUAAAAUUUAAUUUAAAUUUAAAUUUAAAUUGUUAUGUAUAACUUAAAAAUCAUACUAUUUAUUUAUUACUAUUAUUUAUAACUGAAUUACAACAAAAAAUAAAUUCGGAAAUAAUGGAAACCAAUAUUGCGUAAAUAUUUCAGUUUUUCCAAAAAUUAACCCCAAUUUUUCUCAAUUAUUACAAAAAAUACCAAGAAAAUAAAAAAAUACAAUUUCCAACGAACCAACAAGAUAACAUUUUUACUAGAAACCAUCUCUUAGUUGAUUAUUGAAGCAAUAUUUUUGAAAAAGUUGUUUAUACAGUCCGAAAAAAGUACACAUGUUAGUAAAAUCAACGCUCAGAAUCUAAAACGAAGUACAACUUUUGAAAUAUAAAAAUUGUGUGUUAACCAAACUUAUAAUUUCUGAUGCACACUUAAUACCUUUAUUUACACAAGUACCUACACAACUUGAAAUAUAUUCCUGGUCCUCUAUAUGGUAUAUGGUGUUUGGUCCUCCAUUCACAAACAAGACAUAGUUAUAUCUUCGGGUUUCCGUUGACGUUAUAAUUUUACCUAUCACCUAAUUUAGUUAUAAUACAAAUCGUUAAAAAUCAUUUUUAUUAAAAAUUAUUAAAGAAAUCAUUACAAAGUACAAAUUAUUAUUUUUUCAAAUGUCCACACAUACUUCUACAAACUUAUACCUAGUUAUUUUACUAGGUCUAUAUAAAACUAUAUAUUUUCAUUAUAUUCUGUCUUUACUUCUUUUUUACCUUUUAUUUUUAUUAUUAUUUUUGAAACAUUACACAUUUUAAUAAUAAUUUGUGGCACCUAUACAUUUUUAAAUAAUUUUCGAUGUGUAUCAACUAUCAUUUAAAUAUCAUUGUCAAUUCAAUUAUUAAGUUUAUUAAAAUGUGUUUGGGUGAAAUGGAAAAGGUUACAUUUGACGAUGACAAUACUACGUGUACACCAUUGAUUGAUUAACUAUAUUGUUUAAUAUAGGUUUUCAAUAAGAAAUAUCAUAUUAUCAUGGUGGAAAAAUUGCAUGAAUAUCAAGGUCCAAUCGGUAUUCUACACACGUGGAGAGACGCGUUACGGGACAAAUGGACCAGUUGGAAUGAUAAUCGUCCCCGGACACUUUUGGAACUCUUACAACUAUCGGGUUUAGCCGAACGCCCGGGUAACCGGAAAGACGACGAAUGUCCGCUCGAAGUGGACAUGGAACAGUAUUCGCACAUAUUCAGGUAAUGUCUAUAAUAAUUAUUGUUGUGAUAAAUUUAAAAAAAAUACCGGGACUAUAAUAACAUGAUUAUUACAAUUGUAUUUUGAAUAAUAUUGCGUAUGUGGUAAGAGCUUAGAUCAUAUACAAUAGAUAGAGUUACGGCUAAGGUAUAGGCUAACCUUAUGUGAAACGAAUAUGUCGCCAACAUAUCAAGAGGGCGUGUAACUACUGCGUAUGCGUCGUCCUCUUCAUAAUGCCCUCUUGAUAUGUUAGAGACACGUUUUAUUGCUUAUAGCUCUAACCAUUGUGCAUGAUUUAAGGAUAAGAGUGUAUCGUAUACAGAGUGAUCAACAUAAUAUUAAGACACUAUCAUUAUCUCGAAAAAUAUUAACUUGUUUGGAAUUUGUUUUUCUGAACAAUUAAGAAAUAAGUAGCUUUAAGAUAUUACAUUAUUCCUUUUGUGUCACUUUUAUUUUUUAAGUUAACGACUACCUACUUUUUAAUGCCAAAAAAUUCCAUAAACAGGUGAAGUAGGUAUUAGUUUAAAUCGAUUUUGGUGUCAACAUUUUAAAUUUCCGUGAAUCCGUUGCCGAGAUAUUCCACUUUUAAGGUUCUGUGGGAGGAAGUAUAGUGGUACAUAAUUUGUUUAACAACACAAUGAACAGCUUUAAUAAUGUUCACCCCUGAAAAUAAGGGCCAAAUAAAUUAACUAUAAUGUAAAAUUGUAUAGCUGCUUGUUUCUUAAAUAAACUAAAAAUCAAAUUCUGAAAAAAAUGUAAUACUUUCGAAAUAAUAAGUUUCCUACGUUAUUUUGAUCACUCUGUAUAUUAUAUUAUAUGCUGAGUUUUAGGAAGAAAACGAGAGGCGAACUCGUACGCAUAUCUGCCGCAGUGAUGGGAAUAGAAUUUUCGUACGCAGCCGAGACAGCGUUCGUAUCACCGACAUUAUUAAACAUCGGAGUUGACCAUCAACACAUGACUCUUGUAUGGGCUGUAUCUCCUUGCAUUGGGUUUUUCGUCACGCCCAUCUUGGGGUCGUUGAGCGACAGGUGUACCCUUCCGUUAGGCCGACGCAGGCCUUUCCUUAUAGUUCUGGCAUGUGGAGUUUUUUUAGGUAAACCAAUAAAAAUCCAACACAAGAGCACCAGGUCGGAUCGGAAAAAAAAACUAAAAAUAAGCCUAGAUUAAAUAUAUUUUAUUACUUGAACUCUGAAUUUUUUUUGAAAAAUAUCCGUUCGUCUUUUUACAGAUCAUAAAAAUCUACCGAAUUCUCUACUCCUCAGAUCAUAUUAUAAACCAAAAAUCAGGUGAAUUUUCAAUUAUAAGUUUUUAUAAAAAGUGAUGUAAAAGCAAGUAUAUAAUAUAAUUGUCCCGAUCCGAUCGCACGUCUUCCUAACUAAAAGUCCCUCGCAUGUAAACGUUCAGAUAUUGUACAGGUUUGAUAUUGGUGCCGAACGGAAAACUAUUGGGUAGUUGGAUGGAAGGUGAUCUAUCACCGGGAAAUAAUUUUUGGGCAGUAUUUUUCACGGUGCUCGGUACUGUACUAUUGGAUUUUGAUGCGGACGCCUGCCAAAGCCCUGCUCGAGCUUAUCUAUUAGAUAUUUGUGUGCCAGGUAAUAUCGGAUAAAAUUAAUGUCCAUAUCAACAUAAAAUAUUUCGUGAUUAUAAAGUAACGAAUAUGCAUUAGAGGACCACGCCAAAGGUUUAAGCACGUUCACGAUAAUGGCUGGUUUGGGAGGAUGUAUUGGUUAUCUGUUGGGCGGAAUCGACUGGGACUCGUUGAAAUUUGGUAAAACGACUGUAAAUACGUGUUAUUUUUUACGCCAAAUUCUUAAUUGAUUUUCUUUUUUUCAGGGGAAUUAAUGGGUGGUCACGUGAGAGCGGUAUUCACUCUAGUCACUUUUCUGUUUAUCGGUUGUAUCACGUAUACCGUGAGUAGUUUCAAAGAGAUGCCGUUAAAAUUAUUACAGACGAACCAAACGAGAAUAUUGGUCUCAGGAGCCGACGAGGUUAGUCCAUCGACAUUGUCCACGUAGUUAUACAUAUAUAUAUAUAUAUUUAUUUAUAUAUACAUAUGUAUAAAAACUUAAGCUCAGGGCUUGAUUAAGUGCGGGGCCUGUAUCCCGAGCUCCAGCCCCUAUGUUGAAGGCCCGAAAAGAGCCUUUUUUGUCAGAACAAAUUCAUAAUAUUUUAAGUAUAAUGUUUAAUGAAAAUGUAUAAAUCCAAAUUUUAUUUGUACAGUAUACAUUUUCCUUUAUUUUUAUUUGGAUUGAAAUCGAUAAUAUUUUUAUACUAUUUUCAUCUUGAACUUUGUAUCUAAUCAUAUUAAUUUUGAAAAAAAAAAAAGUAUCUCAGUUAUAAAAUAUUGUAUUUUUAUUUUUUUAUUUUUACACUAAAAUAAUAAUGUUGUAUAAUAAUGCAAAUUAAAGAGAUUAUUCUGUUCAAUAAUUUAAUUUGUAUCGUGUUUUAAAAAGUUAAAAUUAAAUUAUUGGUAAUAAAUAAUGUAAGGGCCCUUUAGAAUACCAAACUCCAGAUCCGAUACAUUUUUAAUUCAGUCCUAUACCUAUAUUAUAUCUAAAUAAUACAUACAAAUUAUAUAGGAUUGCGAUUCAGAUGAAAAACUCGUCGGAUAUACGUCAAAAUCAUAUGGCACUUUAAAAGAGGUCAGUAAUGGAAUGGAAAUCGAAAACAACGAACCGGCUCUAAUAACCGUGAGUUUUCAAUCAUGUAAAAUAUUAUGUUAAGUUAGGUUGUUAAGUAGGUAGGUUAAGUUGUUGAAAUUCGAUAACUAUGAAUUCAUUUUUCAUGAAUAAUACAUAGGAACACGCCACGUUUUCUCACUAUUUGAAGACUAUAAUCAUAAUGCCAAAGUCAAUCAAGUUAUUGUGUCUGACAAAUUUGUUCUGUUGGAUGGCGCACGUCUGCUAUUCGUUAUACUUUACGGACUACGUGGGAGAAGCCGUAUUCGGAGGCGAUCCCACGGUAGGGAUACAAUAUAUUAAUUCAUAAUAUUGUUUCACCCUAUGCCAAUUUCGUGCACCAAUAUUAUUAUUAAACGAUUAAUUAAAAUGUGCACAUAGGCAAUGGCGGGAUCCAAAAAGAAAAUACUCUACGAACAAGGCGUUCGAUUCGGAUCGGUCGGCAUGGCGAUGUACUCGCUGUCGUGUGCCUGUUAUUCGAGCGUAAUUGAAAAACUCAUCAAGCGUUUUGGGUAAGUAUAUCCAUCAGGGUUGGACCACAGACCGUGUCUUCCUAAAUCAAUCUGUUAAUCCAGCGGAUUGCUCAGCAGAUUUAUAUAAUUUAGGAACGCUGCUUUGUUAUUUAGUUGGGUCAUGUUGGUUAAUAUCAUAGUUUAAGGUUACCCAUAGAUAAUAGGUACCUACCUAGAACAGUGGCCACACCCGUACUCAAUCUUUUUUAGAUUCUGAGUAUAGCUAAGAAUGUAUUGGUUUUACAAAGUUGUUUAUUUUUUUAGUUCUUUAAUUUUUAAUUUUGUACAAUUUUUCUACCAGAAAGCUUAUUCCAAUUUAAAAUGAUAGCACUUUUUUUGAAAUUAAAUCUGACUGAAGAGGUACUUUAGAGAGGUCAUUUUCGAUUUUCCCAAGAGUUUUCCCAGUAAAUGUGAAAAACCAGAAAAAAAACCAUGGAAAAAUCGGGAAAAACAUGGAAAAACGGGAAAAUUUGUACAAUAUUAAAUAAAUAUUAUUAAAGAAAAUAAAUAAAGCCUAUUUAAUUAUUUUACUAUAAUAUGGCAUAUAUAUUGUUGACAAAGCAUCACUAUCAACUGAACUCUGCUCAGAAUAGUUUUUCCGUUAGCAAUUAUUUAUCAUUGCUUACAGAUAUACAUUAAAUUCUCUUUUGUAUCCUACCUUCUAAUUUCUUACUUAACAGUGGCUGCACUCACAUGCGAAGUAUGUCAUUUUUUUUAUUUUUGUAAUACAAAUAAUUUAAAUAAACAAAAUAAAAUUAAAUUAAAUUAAAAGUAUAUUAAGAGUAUAUUUUUUUUAAAUUGUCAACUAAAUUUUGAAUUUUAAAUUUUUGUUAACAAGAUUUGUAGUUAUAAUUUAUCACUAAUUAUUUAUUGAUUGUUAUCCAACCAUAUACACAAUUUAAAAACUAUUACAAUAAUUACGUCAAUUUUUAUAUUCUGAGCAAACGAAGAAUGUAUUAAUUUUACAAUGAUGUUUAUUUUUAAUUUUAAUUUUUUUUUUGUAUAUACUGUGUACAAAAUUUCUACUAGAAAUCUUGUUCUGAUUUUUUAGUAUAGCACCUUUUCUGAAAGGAAAUUUUAUCUCGUUGGAACUUUAAACAGGUAAUUUUUUAAUUUUCCAAGAAUAUAAUUUUUCAUAAUAAUUCGGAAAACCGGAAAAAACAAAAAAAAUAAAUAAUGCUUUUAUUGUUUUAGAUUUUUAGUGGAGCGAGGAAUUUAUUGGUUUUACAAUGAUGUUUAUUUUUUUUUCAGUGGACAACUUUUCUACCAACAAUUUUACUCUGAUUUACAAUGAUAGCACUUUUUCUGAAAGAAAAUCAAACUGGGAAGAUACUUACUUUAGGGAGAUCAUUUUUUUUUUCCAGGAAUUUUCCCAAUAAAUGGGAAAAACCGUGAAAAAAACGGAAAAAGAAGUAUAAUAUUAAACAAACAUCAUUAAAGAAAAUAUAUAAUGCAUAAUUAUUUUACGAUAAUGUGACAUAUAUAUUGUUGAUAAAGUAACACUAUUAACCAAACUCCGCUCAAAAUCGAUUUUCGUUAGCAAUAGUUAAUCGUUGCGUAGAUAGAUAUACAAUAGAUAUACAUUAUAUUUGCCCUCUUUUUUCCUAAAUUUGGUGGAAAGUUGUUGAUGAAAAUUUAAAAAAUAAUAAAAUAAUAAAGUAAAAACAAAAUUAUUUAUAUUUGAAAAAAAUAGUUAUGGAAUUACAACAAUCAAACAAUAUAUGCAAGUGGAAUAUCUUACUACAAGUAUGCAUUCAUUUUUGUAUUUUUAAUAUAGCGUAAUUCAUGGAUGAACAAAUUUUAUUUUGCACGAUGUUAUUUAUAAAUUUAAAUAUUAUAUAAUGCAAUUUGUAGCUUAUAAUAAAUAGGUACUAUAAAUAGGUUUCGUGCCUCAGCAAUAGGUUUUCACCGCAGUCUCACUAAGUGUAGAGUGAGCCAUGCAUUAAUUGAAAAUUAAAGACGAUGCCGUUAAAUGUAAAUAGAAUAUCCGUGGAAUCCAAAUAACUGCAGCCAGUGACGUCAUUUCAAUUUUUGAGAGGAGGUGGGAAGCAAAAGUUUUGACCAGCUCAUAAUAAAACUGAAAAACAUCGCAUUCUUCACUCGCUAACUUAAUUGUUACAGUUACAUAUUUAUCUCAAUUCAAAUACCCUUCUUUUAUACUUACUAUUAUACGAAUAAAUAACCCGUUUUUUUUUUUGAGGGACAACAAUGACUAUUGACUAAAUUGUUAUUUAGUCAACAUAUAAUAUCUAUAUACAGAGGGACACCUAAAUAUAUUAUCUAUAGGCUAUAAGUUACUAAUAUGCUUAUUAGCCACUGUAUGAAUUAUAAAAACUUAGUUUAAGACGAAUUUUACCCCAAUUUAUGUUCUAAUAUGUAUGGAGUAUAAAUGUAGUAUUAAAUCAUAAAACAUGACAUGAAUCAUGUUUGUGGUCUUGUGGCUCAAAACUAGCCCGAUACCAGCCUAUACCCGGCCCUAUAGCGGCCUGCUGAUGAUAAGAGGAGAAGAAAAUUCCUCCCUGCCCCAAAAUUAUGUAGGUGUUUAUUACUUUCACAAUUGCUUCGUUAAGUAGCUAGGGCUUCAGCCCCCCUCCAAACUCAAACCUAAUUUGAGCCUAUAAGAACUACUAAAUCAUAUAAUAUUAUUUUUAUAUAUUUUGUAAAUCAAUAAGUACGACUUAUAAUAAACCUCCUGUUAAAUUUUCAAACAUUCCUAUUAAAUUUAACAAUUUCAUCUACUGCAGAGUAGGCACCUUCCAAAUAAAAAUUAUAUAAAAAAAACUCGGAAAAUUAAAAUGUCUAUAAAUAGCUCAAAAAUGACUCAAAUAAUUUGAAAACUGCAUGACGUUUACAAAAGACAAAUAUAUAGGUUUUUUUACCAAAUUUCGAGUCUCUUAAAUGUUAAAUAAUAAAAUAAUUCUUUUCAUUAGUAAAUUUGUCAGUAUUUAAAAAACUACAAAUCAAAAACAACUUUCUUCAAAAUUCUAUUGGAGCAAUAUUUAUGAUAGAAAAACAAAGCUGUAACUCCACUCAGAAUCGGUUUUCAUAAGCAAUGGUUUAUCGUUGCUUACAGGUGUACAUUAAAUUACGUACAAUAGUGGCUGCACCCGUCCCUAUUAUCCUAAGACGUCUUUUAUCUACGUUCUUCUCAGUUUUCUUGGUUUUUCCCAGUUAUUAGUAAAACUCUUAAGAAAAUUAAAAAAUUACCAUCUUAAAGUACCUUCCUAGUCAAAUUUCUUUUUAGAAAAAGUGAUAUUGUUGAAAAUUGAAGCAAAAUUGCUGGUAGAAAAGUUGUCCACAGAAAAAAAUAUAAUAAACAUUGAAUAACCGUAAGCUUCUUCGCUCCAUUCAGAAUCUAAAAGGUGCUACAUUAUACAUUGGAGCAACAUUUCUUUUCGAAAAAUUGUUUACAGAUAGAUACACUCCGAACUAAAAUAAGAUUGUAAAAACAAAUUUUGUUAUUGGGAUUUGUGAUGUUAAUUUUUCAAUAUUAAAUUGUUUUUGCGUUGAUAAAAUUAAAAUGUAUGUCGGGCAGAGGAAAACGAGUGUAUGUCGGUGGUUUGCUUUUCUAUUCCACCGGAAUGUUUUUAAUGGCCAUCACGCGACAUAAGUUUAGUGUGAUAUUCUUCUCAUGGGCAGCCGGUGUAAUGUAUUCAACCAUGUUCACGAUGCCGUAUUUGUUGAUCGCCCAUUACCAUUCGACUAACACGGUAUUAUUAUACGAAUUUUUUUUUCUUUACGUAAUUGUAUGUUUUGCCAUUUUUUCCUGUUUUUAGUUUGCUGAAAAUAUCAUUGGCCAAGAACCUGAUGACCAGAUACGAGGCUUAGGCACAGACGUCGCCGUGGUUAGUUCCAUGGUUUUCGUGGCUCAGUUCAUUUUGUCUAUGUGUAUGGGAACGAUUGUCAGCCUGUCGGGAACUACUUCGGCCGUGGUCUACACCGCUUCGUUUUUGGCUUUUUGCGCUUCGAUUGUUGCCACGCAAAUCGUGUACUUAGAUCUAUGAUAACUGAAUUUUUGAAAUUUAUAGAAAACUUACUACUGCGCUAUGUAUCAACUCGUUUAAUUUAAACGCCGUGUGUUUUUCACACUUUUUACAUUUAUUUCACUAAAAUACAACAAUAUCAUACAAAUAUUAUUUAUUAAUAAUAAUAUAUAGGUAUAUUAUACAAUAGUUCUGUAAUCUGUUACUUACAUAUUAUUAAAGACCCUAUAAGUAUUUAUAGUAAGAGAAUGGCAUACUCAGUUUAUCACUAUUUAAUAAACUCCGUAUUAAAGUUUAAAGAUCAAUGAAUAAGCUAUCAGACGGCAUCAGUAGUAUUUUUGCGGACCAGUAAAUUGGUAUACUGUAAUAAAACCAAUUUUAAAAAGACUUACAUUACCUCCCUUAUCCUAUAUGAUACCAGUGUUCCUAAUGCCCACCCCUCUUAGACUAUGGAAUACAAUGUUUAAAAUAUAGGUGUAGCCUAGCUGGAACUUUAAUAUUUACAAUGUCGCCUAAAAGUUUUCUAAUAAGUAACAAUAAACAAAAACAAAAUUGAUAAUAAAGUAAGUAUAAGUAUAUACG